AGUGAACGCUGGCGGUAGGCCUAACACAUGCAAGUCGAACGGCAGCACAGGAGAGCUUGCUCUCUGGGUGGCGAGUGGCGGACGGGUGAGGAAUACAUCGGAAUCUACUCUGUCGUGGGGGAUAACGUAGGGAAACUUACGCUAAUACCGCAUACGACCUACGGGUGAAAGCAGGGGACCUUCGGGCCUUGCGCGAUGGAAUGAGCCGAUGUCGGAUUAGCUAGUUGGCGGGGUAAAGGCCCACCAAGGCGACGAUCCGUAGCUGGGCUGAGAGGAUGAUCAGCCACACUGGAACGGAGACACGGUCCAGACUCCUACGGGAGGCAGCAGUGGGGAAUAUUGGACAAUGGGCGCAAGCCUGAUCCAGCCAUACCGCGUGGGUGAAGAAGGCCUUCGGGUUGUAAAGCCCUUUUGUUGGGAAAGAAAUCCAGCUGGCUAAUACCCGGUUGGGAUGACGGUACCCAAAGAAUAAGCACCGGCUAACUUCGUGCCAGCAGCCGCGGUAA
rnacentral:rRNA from 1 species